GACGAACGCUGGCGGCGUGCCUAAUACAUGCAAGUCGAACGCAGUGGGGACGGGUGAGUAACACGUGGGUAACCUCCCAUCAGAGGGGAUAACACUUGGAAACAGGUGCUAAAACUGAUAUUGGUGGAUGGAUCCGCGGUGCAUUAGCUAGUUGGUGAGGUAACGGCUCACCAAGGCCACGAUGCAUAGCCGGCCUGAGAGGGUGAUCGGCCACACUGGGACUGAGACACGGCCCAGACUCCUACGGGAGGCAGCAGUAGGGAAUCUUCGGCAAUGGGCGAAAGUCUGACCGAGCAACGCCGCGUGAAUGAAGAAGGUUUUCGGGUCGUAAAGCUCUGUUGUUAGAGAGGCGGUAUCUAACCAAAAAGCCACGGCUAACUCCGUGCCAGCAGCCGCGGUAAUUC
rnacentral:rRNA from 1 species